rnacentral:rRNA from 1 species
CUGCUCAGGAUGAACGCUGGCGGCGUGCCUAAUACAUGCAAGUCGAACGAGUUUUGGUCGAUGAACGGUGCUUGCACUGAGAUUCGACUUAAAACGAGUGGCGGACGGGUGAGUAACACGUGGGUAACCUGCCCUUAAGUGGGGGAUAACAUUUGGAAACAGAUGCUAAUACCGCAUAAAUCCAAGAACCGCAUGGUUCUUGGCUGAAAGAUGGCGCAAGCUAUCGCUUUUGGAUGGACCCGCGGCGUAUUAGCUAGUUGGUGAGGUAACGGCUCACCAAGGCGAUGAUACGUAGCCGAACUGAGAGGUUGAUCGGCCACAUUGGGACUGAGACACGGCCCAAACUCCUACGGGAGGCAGCAGUAGGGAAUCUUCCACAAUGGACGCAAGUCUGAUGGAGCAACGCCGCGUGAGUGAAGAAGGCUUUCGGGUCGUAAAACUCUGUUGUUGGAGAAGAAUGGUCGGCAGAGUAACUGUUGUCGGCGUGACGGUAUCCAACCAGAAAGCCACGGCUAACUACGUGCCAGCAGCCGCGGUAAUACGUAGGUGGCAAGCGUUAUCCGGAUUUAUUGGGCGUAAAGCGAGCGCAGGCGGUUUUUUAAGUCUGAUGUGAAAGCCCUCGGCUUAACCGAGGAAGCGCAUCGGAAACUGGGAAACUUGAGUGCAGAAGAGGACAGUGGAACUCCAUGUGUAGCGGUGAAAUGCGUAGAUAUAUGGAAGAACACCAGUGGCGAAGGCGGCUGUCUGGUCUGUAACUGACGCUGAGGCUCGAAAGCAUGGGUAGCGAACAGGAUUAGAUACCCUGGUAGUCCAUGCCGUAAACGAUGAAUGCUAGGUGUUGGAGGGUUUCCGCCCUUCAGUGCCGCAGCUAACGCAUUAAGCAUUCCGCCUGGGGAGUACGACCGCAAGGUUGAAACUCAAAGGAAUUGACGGGGGCCCGCACAAGCGGUGGAGCAUGUGGUUUAAUUCGAAGCAACGCGAAGAACCUUACCAGGUCUUGACAUCUUUUGAUCACCUGAGAGAUCAGGUUUCCCCUUCGGGGGCAAAAUGACAGGUGGUGCAUGGUUGUCGUCAGCUCGUGUCGUGAGAUGUUGGGUUAAGUCCCGCAACGAGCGCAACCCUUAUGACUAGUUGCCAGCAUUGAGUUGGGCACUCUAGUAAGACUGCCGGUGACAAACCGGAGGAAGGUGGGGAUGACGUCAAAUCAUCAUGCCCCUUAUGACCUGGGCUACACACGUGCUACAAUGGAUGGUACAACGAGUUGCGAGACCGCGAGGUCAAGCUAAUCUCUUAAAGCCAUUCUCAGUUCGGACUGUAGGCUGCAACUCGCCUACACGAAGUCGGAAUCGCUAGUAAUCGCGGAUCAGCACGCCGCGGUGAAUACGUUCCCGGGCCUUGUACACACCGCCCGUCACACCAUGAGAGUUUGUAACACCCGAAGCCGGUGGCGUAACCCUUUUAGGGAGCGAGCCGUCUAAGGUGGGACAAAUGAUUAGGGUGAAGUCGUAACAAGGUAAACCCGUAA